rnacentral:lncRNA from 10 species
GUCAAACUAGACACUUAGAUGGACUGUUCAUUUCAAAGCAUGUUUUGGGAUCUUUUUUUUUCUUUUCACCAAAGGUAGUCAGUGGCUGAAAUGUCUAUAUGGAAGAACAGAAAGCCCACCCUGCUACUUUUUAAAUCUUUUAUAGCAGAAAAGUGACUGAUAGAAGGAUUUACCAGAAUGGUCAUAGAGCAAGUGAGCAGGGACAUAGUUUAGCAUUAAUUCCCUAGAAUGCUAAGGCCAGAUGAAAUCAGAUGGAGUGAACCGUGUUGAUCAAGCUAUGCUUCAUAUUUCAUGAGAGCAGUGUCUUAGUGUUGGUGUUUGCUAACAGAGAAGCUAUAUCAAAAACAGCUUUCAGCUUUUGAUUUCUGAAAAGUAGUGAAUAUCCACAUAGAAUAGUGACUGACAUUUAAUUACAUAGAUCAUGUCUAAACCACAAUCCAGUCCUAAGCUUCUCAAAUCUUCUAGGAUGUCUGUUAAAAAUGUUAAUUCCCAUGCUCCAAUUCCAAGCACUCUCAUUUACUGGCUCUAUAGGGCUCAAAGAUCUACAUUUUAAACAUCUCCUGAGCAAUUUAAUCCACCCAUCAUCAUAUAUUGCACGUCUGUACCCAGCCUGGUCAACAAUGUAGUCAUGAUAGAGUGGUAGAAAUGGGCUAGGUGCAGUGGCAAUGGCUUUUUAAUUCAAAGAUGCUAUUUCAACUCAAUAAGAUGCAGCUUUUUAAAUUUGUCACUAGGUGGUGUUGGAGACAAAUACAGUACUGCUCCUUGACUAGAGGAAAAGUUCUUAAAAUGAUGCAGUCAAAUCUUACAGUACAGUGUGCCUUUGGCUAUGCUGAUUACAAAUUCUACAAAGAUAGUUAUGAUGAACUAACAGGAUAAAAUUAUCAUCUUAUAAUAAGAAACAAGCAACAUUAAGAAGCAAAUACAUCCUAAUUCUCGUCUAACAGCUAUUCUGAAGUUUGCUGGG